rnacentral:rRNA from 1 species
GACGAACCGAGCGAACGUUGUUCGGAAUCACUGGGCUUAAAAGGGCGCGUAGGCGGGUGCUCAAGUCCGUGGUGAAAUCCUCCGGCUCAACCGGAGAACUGCCUCGGAUACUGGGCGUCUCGAGUGUGGUAGGGGUAUGCGGAACUAUCGGUGGAGCGGUGAAAUGCGUUGAUAUCGAUAGGAACUCCGGGUGGCGAAGGCGGCAUACUGGACCACCACUGACGCUGAUGCGCGAAAGCUAGGGGGAGCAAACAGG